GCUAGGCAUGGUGGUGCAUGCCUGUAAUCCCAGUGGUUUGGGAGGCUGAGACAGGAUGAUCAGGAGUUCAAAGCCAGCCUCAGCAGAAGCAAGGUGUUAAGCAACUCAGGGAGACCCUGUCUCUA
rnacentral:sRNA from 1 species